UACAGGGGGUGCAAACGUUGCUCGGAAUUACUGGGCGUAAAGCGUGCGCAGGCGGUUUUGUAAGACUGUCGUGAAAUCCCCGGGCUCAACCUGGGAAUGGCGAUGGUGACUGCAAGGCUAGAGUUUGGCAGAGGGGGGUAGAAUUCCACGUGUAGCAGUGAAAUGCGUAGAUAUGUGGAGGAACACCGAUGGCGAAGGCAGCCCCCUGGGUCAAACUGACGCUCAUGCACGAAAGCGUGGGAGCAAACAGG
rnacentral:rRNA from 1 species